GACAUCGGUGACGAUGAGUUAACGUUGUCAGUAUCCGGAGCGCCUCUUGAUGAUGACCUGCUGGUGUCUGAGCUAGCGGCAUUAGAUUUAGACCUCACUGUUCCAUUACUCGGUGGUAAAGUGCACGGUUCUCUGGCUCGUGCUGGUAAGGUCAGGGGACAAACGCCGAAGGUUGAAAAGCAGGAAAAGAAGAAGAAGAAGACUGGCCGCGCCAAGCGUAGGCAACAGUACAACAGACGAAUUCUGAAUGUUGUCAUGGUCAACGGCCGUCCUCGUGGACCCAACUGUAACUCUUAGAAUUUUGUAUACUAAUUAAUAUUGAUGUAAAAUGUAAA
rnacentral:misc_RNA from 1 species